rnacentral:rRNA from 1 species
CGCGUAGGCGGUCUCUUAAGUCAGAUGUGAAAGCCCGGGGCUCAACCCCGGAAGUGCAUUUGAAACGAGGGGACUUGAGUAUGGGAGAGGGAAGUGGAAUUCCUGGUGUAGCGGUGAAAUGCGUAGAUAUCAGGAGGAACACCGGUGGCGAUGGCGACUUCCUGGACCAAUACUGACGCUGAGGCGCGAAGGCGUGGGGAGCAAACA